UACGAAGGGGGCUAGCGUUGUUCGGAUUUACUGGGCGUAAAGCGCACGUAGGCGGAUCUUUAAGUCAGAGGUGAAAUCCCAAGGCUCAACCUUGGAACUGCCUUUGAUACUGGGGAUCUUGAGUCCGGGAGAGGUGAGUGGAACUGCGAGUGUAGAGGUGAAAUUCGUAGAUAUUCGCAAGAACACCAGUGGCGAAGGCGGCUCACUGGCCCAGUACUGACGCUGAGGUGCGAAAGCGUGGGGAGCAAACAGG
rnacentral:rRNA from 1 species